UUAGAAGAUUUUAUUAGUCGUUUUUAGCGCCUAAUUUUUCUUAUAUAUUUGUUCGUUACUAAUUAUAAUUUAAUUAGUGAUGGUAGUAGUUUGAAAAAUCUCUACAAUGAUUAGAAACUUGUUAAUUCGUAACGUGAUUAUGAAUCGUAACAAGUAACGUAAACUUUGGAGGUAAAACUUAAAGUUGAGCAACUACCCAUAACAGUUCGAAAAAAAAAAAAAAUUUUAAUUAUUACCCAAGUAUAUUAUAUAACCAUGAUGGGAGUAAAUUAAAUAUUUCUUACAUAUACAAGUGAUUUUUAAACAUGAAGUACAAGUUACAUAACUUGUUACAUGUACAACAAUUUUUACCCAAACUUUAAACUAUCUUAGAUAAACCUUUCUUAUACCAUAAUAGACCAAAUUGAGGACAAAAAGCACUCCAAAUCAGCCCCAAAACAGCAGCCCCUAGCUGCCAUACUAGCCCUCAUUUAGCCCCAAAACUCACUUACACACUCCACCAAACUCUCUACCCAAAGCCCCUAUUGUUCUUACCCAAAAACACCAUCAUAACAAGCAUGCAAACAUGAUAAAUUAAGACAUAUUUGCUGUCCAUAUUUUCAGCUCCAUCAACCUUCUUUCACUCCUCAUUUUACUCCUUAUUUCAUCCAUAAGCAUAGUUGAAGUUCAAUCUUACAAUUCCUAGCAAAAACACCUUCUUUUCUCAUUAAAUCUUCUUCAAAAACCCAUCUAAAACUUCUGAAAAUUUAUGUUUAUAAACUCAAAUCUCCCAUAAAAAUAAUCUUCAUCUUAAGAGCUUUCCAUAGACACCAAACUUGAAGAAAUCCACCAAGUAUAGAUUGAAGAGUUGGAGUUGAGGCUUGAAGGGCAAGGAACUGAAGUUAGAACCACUUCUAAAAACGCGUAGGAGCUUACGGAAUAAUUAUAUAGGCUUGGAGUCGAGAGUAAACCCCUAUGGCACCUCGACGGAGAAUGGAUAUGCGAGCGGAAGUUGAACCCGAGUUGGAGUAUGACUCCCCUUUUGUUUAGAUCUCUUUAUUGUAUUUGAGAGACUAUUAGUUUAGAUUUAGACUAUUUUAAGGAUGUAAUUUGAACUUUGGACUUAUUUCGAUUUGGUUGUAAUUUUCCUAUAUUUUAGACAGUUAAGACUUCCGUUA